rnacentral:lncRNA from 1 species
AUCCUCUUUGUUUGGGCACAUUAGCAUGAAAUGAUAUCACAAUUCAAAAACGUUGUGCCAGUUAGCCACUAUUUUUGUAUGUCCCAAACAUGUUUAAGGCUUGAUUUGUAUUCUGAACCUAGGUAUUGAUUUAUUUAUUGCUAUAUAUAUGCUGCUAUCGGAUCCUCUCCCUCCAUUUCUUGAUCUUCUCCUCUCUUCC